rnacentral:rRNA from 1 species
UACGAAGGGGGCUAGCGUUGCUCGGAAUCAUUGGGCGUAAAGCGCGCGUAGGCGGUCAGGUAAGUCCGGUGUGAAAGUCAAAGGCUCAACCUUUGAAUGCCGCUGGAUACUGCCUGACUUGAGUCCGGAAGGGGCGAGUGGAAUUCCAGGUGUAGCGGUGAAAUGCGUAGAUAUCUGGAGGAACACCGGUGGCGAAGGCGGCAUCCUGGACCAACACUGACGCUGAGUGAGCGAAAGCCAGGGGAGCAAACGGG